ensembl:lncRNA
AACAGAACAUAGAGACUUGUUUCCUUCUCAAAUGAAAAGACUGCACGCACUGAAGUGCAUUUUAAAUGCUGUUUGGCAAGUGCGGGGUGGUUGGGGGAGGGGAGGAGGCUGACUUGCUUUUUCUUUGCUGGAUAUCUGGGAACCGAGCCCAUCCGCACUUUCUCCAUGAAACUUGAAGGGCAAUGUAUCAUUGUGGGAGAGAUACUGCAGUUUUUCCAAACAGAAACCUAGCCCUUCUUAGGGUCGUCUUCAUUUACAAGGUCAGUUGUGUUCCUUGAAUGUGUUAGUAUUUAGGGGGAUGAAAACGGGCCAGGAGCCACCAAAAAGUUUCAGGUAAGACUCCUGCUCAACUCCAGGGCCUAUGCCCAGGACAGUCGGAAAAGAAAAGGAAGGCUUAAAACAUUGGGAACUGAGAGGAGCUGAAUGAAAGGAACAACCGGGAAGGAGUGGAGUGGUUGGGAAUGGCUUCUUGAGUAGACAUGUGGUUGGGUAGAAUUUGGACAGACAUAGAGGAAAAGAGAUGGUGUCUGGAAGGCGCAAGAGCAAGAGUAAAGGCAGGAAGUGGCAAUGACUAUGGUGUGGUGGGAAAGCAGAGAUAAAUGUGCUUGGCCAUAGGGCUGAGGGCUGCAGUCAGGUGAGGUGCAAGCGAAUGAUGGAGAUGGAGCAAAGGAGUCUUUUUUUGUCUAGGUAACAGAGAGAGAGACUGAAAUUUGUCUCUGCCUGGAAACAACACGAUGAGAGCAGAGGGUUAGAACAUUUGACCAGGACAGCCCAGGGAGAGAGGGAUGGGAAGCAGAAGUUCACUGGUGAGGUCACUGUAGCAGCCCAGAAACACCCUGCCAUGAGAUCAACUCAGCAGACCAAGGGAAGGCUGGAGAUCGUGGUGGCCAAGGGAUGUUCAGACACACCUACCUACAGCACAAUCAGCCCCUUUAUUGUACGGAAGAAGAGGCAGCAAACCAGCCAGAAGAAAGCCACUUUGUUUAACAUUCCAAAGGCGUUCCCAGUGUCUCCCAGAGUCCUCAUUAAUUACCUGGAGAAUUACCAAUGCGUUCUGGGAUCCCAUGAGAGACUCCUUCCACUGCAAUUCGCCAACCCUUGUGACACUGGGAUGAUGAAAUAGGCGCACUUGAUGAGGAGAGAAGAGGAAACGGAGUCCGGGCACAGAGUCAGAAGGCCUUGGCUUGGGAGAUUUCUGAAUCACGGACACGGCCUGCCCUCUCACAAGUAGAGGCAAAAGAUGUCAGGGUUGUUGGCAGAUGCGGGCACGGAGCUUUGGGGUGGCAAUAAUAACGAUUUUCAGGGCACGGGCAGUUAGGCGAGGGAGGGCUGUUAGGUGAGUGGAGGAGUGAGGGUCCUGGACCAGGCAGGGCCGAGCACGGGCCAGGGAAGGAGGACUGUGAGUACCGGCUGUUUCUUUAGAUUUGGAACCAGAAAGUGCUGGCAUUAAAGCUAGAACAACAGAAUCACAGGAAAGGAUCUUAGAGGUUACAUAAUGCUGGCAUUUUAAAACCAGGUUCCCUGGCGUUCUAAAGAUUCUAUGUGAAGGCGUUUCGGGGACUGCUGUUCAGUGUUUGGUAAAAGGGGAUGGGGGGCUGGUCCUUCAUCCCCAUUUUAACAUCAGUUUGUAUCUAUUUUAGACAUUGGGAUUCUGAAUAUGAUUUAUUUCUGGAAAGGCUUUUGUACUUAAAAAUUACUGUUCCUUUCCAACCUCUUCAUUUGACAGCUCAGAAAAGGAAGCUGACUUUGUAGAGACGUACAGCCAGCAUGUGACAUCACACUGUGAUGUUCACCCCCCUGGGUGUGGUGGCAUCAUGGUACUAUAGAUCAAACAGGCCCGGAAACGCCAGGCUACAUUCUUUUCCCUCAGAGUGGCCCAUUUAUUUUGCUCCUAUUCUCCAGUUCUAACCCCACCAAAACCCAAACCAGUGCUCAGAUUUAUAAUAUUCCAUGUACACCAUGGUCUGGAAAGAGGACUGGCCCAAAAGUGUGGUGAACAAGGUUGCCUGUGUGGUGUGACGUGUGUAGGCCUCAGCCAACCCCCAAUAACUUCCCAUCUAACUAGAAUUCCCACCACCGGUUAGGCCAGCAGUUUUCAAGUAAACUCAGGUGCCAGUGUGCCUGUGGAACACCACGAAUUGUUGACUGACUGAAUUCCAUCCUACAAAUGAGCAGCGACUUUACCAGCAGGAAAGCUAGCUGUGUUAGAAGCACACAGUACAACAUCGUGGUCACACACGCUGCGUGAGUCAUUAAGACUGGUCCCACAUGUUCUGGUUCUCCGUCUAGGCACACAGUGGGCUUGUACUUCUCCAUUGCCUUUCACAGCCAUGGCCAUAUGACAUGUUUUGGCCGAAUAAAUGUGCGUGGAAGCUUUUGAAGUCAGUGGGUGAUUCUCGUCAUUCUCUUCCCCGUGGUGCAGUCUCUGCCGAAGUCCACUUUGAGACGGAGCCUCUGUUUGCCAGAGUCCUGGGGUUGCUACGAUGAGGAGAGCUCUCCAACCUACAUCAAACAUGGUGUGAACAAGAAAUACAUCUUUGUUUGUUAAACCAUUAGGAUUUUGGAGUUUUGUUACCAUAGCAAAACCUAGCUUAUCCUAACUGAUAUAGCCACUUAUCAAAAAUAAACCAAUUAACUGUGAAAUGGAACAUUGCUGAUUUCCUCAUGACUUUUCUGUUAAUUUAAUCUCUCGUCUCCAAUUUUGGAAGUCUAGUACCAAUAGCCACAUGAGUGGAGAAUUCUUAUUUGAAGGAUUUAGAACUGUAUGGGAAAAAUUAUACUAACUGGACAAGGACUGUAGAUGAGCUGAUGAAAAUUUAUGCAUCAUUUUAUAUUCAUUAAAAUGGACCAUGAAGACAGCACAACAAAUAAUGAGAAAAAUCAUGAUACUUGAUAUUUAAUAAUACCAGACACCAAAAUCAAUGAUAUUUAAUGCAUGUUAAAUUAGCCUCAGUGGAAUC